GCUUACGGCCACACCGCCUGGUUCACGCACGAUCUCGUUUGAUCUCGGAAGAUAAGAUAGGGUGGGCCUGGUUAGUACUUGGAUGGGGAGACCGCCUGGGAAUACCAGGUGCUGUAAGCU
rnacentral:rRNA from 1 species